ACUGGCUUGUACUUGUCUGUUGUUUGUCUUUCUUCCCCACUGAUGUGUGAACCCCCCAAGGGCAGGAAUUGUGUCCUGUAUACACCCUUGACUCCCCAGGUCCUAGAGAGCAUCUGAUUCAUUGCAUGGGCUUAGGGAAUAUGUCUGAAUGAAUGCAGCUGUGAAUGAGUGAAUGAACGAAUGAGCACACUGAGCUUCUCACAGAAGCAGCUGAUCCCAAGGAUGUUGAUUGCUAGACUAGAACUUUCUCUUCCAUGUACCCUGUCCCUCCUUUCCUUACUCUCUCUGACCUGGCCUUUCUUUCCCUACAGUUGCCCCCAAAGGACCCAAAAUUGUGAUGACGCCCAGCAGAGCCCGGGUAGGGGACACAGUGAGGAUUCUGGUCCAUGGGUUUCAGAACGAAGUCUUCCCGGAGCCCAUGUUCACGUGGACGCGGGUUGGGAGCCGCCUCCUGGACGGCAGCGCUGAGUUCGACGGGAAGGAGCUGGUGCUGGAGCGGGUUCCCGCCGAGCUCAAUG
rnacentral:sRNA from 1 species